UUCCCUGCUCACAUCAGGGAAGAGCAUGAGGCUCUUAAUCUCAGGGCCAUGGGUUCGAGCCUCAUGUUGGGUAGAAA